rnacentral:tRNA from 1 species
UGUCAAGGGAUGGGAAUCGAACCCACGACCUUCCGCUUACCGGGCAGAUGCCAUGACCACUAGGCUACCCUGUAC